rnacentral:rRNA from 1 species
AUUGAACGCUGGCGGCAUGCCUUACACAUGCAAGUCGAACGGUAACAGGUUAAGCUGACGAGUGGCGAACGGGUGAGUAAUGUAUCGGAACGUGCCCAGUCGUGGGGGAUAACUGCUCGAAAGAGCAGCUAAUACCGCAUACGACCUGAGGGUGAAAGCGGGGGAUCGCAAGACCUCGCGCGAUUGGAGCGGCCGAUAUCGGAUUAGGUAGUUGGUGAGGUAAAGGCUCACCAAGCCGACGAUCUGUAGCUGGUCUGAGAGGACGACCAGCGACACUGGGACUGAGACACGGCCCAGACUCCCACGGGAGGCAGCAGUGGGGAAUUUUGGACAAUGGGCGCAAGCCUGAUCCAGCCAUGCCGCGUGCGGGAAGAAGGCCUUCGGGUUGUAAACCGCUUUUGUCAGGGAAGAAAGGGUUCUGGCUAAUACCUGGGACUCAUGACGGUACCUGAAGAAUAAGCACCGGCUAACUACGUGCCAGCCGCCGCCGUAAUAC